rnacentral:rRNA from 1 species
UACAGAGGUCUCAAGCGUUGUUCGGAUUCAUUGGGCGUAAAGGGUGCGUAGGUGGCGCCGUAAGUCAGGUGUGAAAUCUCGGGGCUUAACUCCGAAACUGCAUUUGAUACUGCGGUGCUUGAGGACUGGAGAGGAGACUGGAAUUUACGGUGUAGCGGUGAAAUGCGUAGAUAUCGUAAGGAAGACCAGUGGCGAAGGCGGGUCUCUGGACAGUUCCUGACACUGAGGCACGAAGGCCAGGGGAGCAAACAGG